rnacentral:rRNA from 1 species
CCUACGGGUGGCAGCAGUGGGGAAUAUUGCGCAAUGGGCGAAAGCCUGACGCAGCGACGCCGCGUGAGGGAUGAAGGUCUUCGGAUCGUAAACCUCUGUCAGCAGGGAAGAACGGUCACUGUGCUAAUCAGCAGUGAAUUGACGGUACCUGCAAAGGAAGCACCGGCUAACUCCGUGCCAGCAGCCGCGGUAAUACGGAGGGUGCGAGCGUUAUCCGGAUUUAUUGGGUUUAAAGGGUGCGCAGGCGGAUUUUUAAGUCAGCGGUCAAAUCGUGGGGCUCAACCCCAUCCAGCCGUUGAAACUGGGGAUCUAGAGUAUCAGAGAGGAUUGCAGAAUUCCUGGUGUAGCGGUGAAAUGCGUAGAUAUCAGGAGGAAUACCGUUAGCGAAGGCGGCAAUCUGGCUGGAAACUGACGCUGAGGUGCGAAAGCGUGGGUAGCAAACAGGAUUAGAUACCCCAGUAGUC